GAUUUUCAAGAAUUAUUUAAAACAUAUCCUGAAGCAACACCCUUGGAAAAUAUAGAACCACCAGUUGUAGCACCAUGUAUUAUAAUCAUAGAUGAUCCAGCAUGUCGAAUGUUUUAUUUAUAUAUAGAAAAAUUAUUGAUUGAAAGGACAUAUUGCUUUUAUGAAGCCUU